ensembl:snRNA U6 U6 spliceosomal RNA
GUGCUUCUGCAGCAUAUAUACUAAAAUUGGAAUGAUACAGAGAAGAUUAGCAUGACCUCUGUGCAAGGACGACACGCAAAUUCAUGAAGCGUUUCAUAUUUAA